rnacentral:rRNA from 2 species
UAGGGAAUUUUCGGCAAUGGGCGGAAGCCUGACCGAGCAAUGCCGCGUGAAUGAUGAAGGUCUUCGGAUUGUAAAGUUCUUUUGCAAAGGAAGAAAAAGCUGUGAAGAGCAGCAUAUUGACGGUACUUUGAGAAUAAGCCACGGCUAACUACGUGCCAGCAGCCGCGGUAAUACGUAGGUGGCGAGCGUUAUCCGGAAAUAUUGGGCGUAAAGCGUGAGUAGGCGGUUAGAUAAGUCUAAAAUGAAAGGCUGUGGCUUAACCAUAGUAUGUUUUAGAAACUGUCCAACUAGAGUGCGGGAGAGGUUAAUGGAAUUCCAUGUGUAGCGGUGAAAUGCGUAGAUAUAUGGAGGAACACCAGUGGCGAAGGCGGUUAACUGGCCCGAAACUGACGCUGAGUCACGAAAGCGUGGGGAGCAAAUAGG